rnacentral:rRNA from 1 species
GAUGAACGCUGGCGGCGUGCCUAAUACAUGCAAGUCGAGCGAACAGACUAGGAGCUUGCUCCUCUGACGUUAGCUGCGGACGGGUGAGUAACACGUGGAUAACCUACCUAUAAGACUGGGAUAACUUCGGGAAACCGUAGCUAAUACCGGAUAAUAUAUUGAACCGCAUGGUUCAAUAGUGAAAGACGGUUUUGCUCUCAUUUAUAGAUGGAUCCGCGCCUAAUUAGCUAGUUGGUAAGGUAAGGGCUUACAAAGGCAACGAUGCGUAGCCGACCUGAGAGGGUGAUCGGCCACACUGGAACUGAGACACGGCCCAGACUCCUACGGGAGGCGGCAGUAGGGAAUCUUCCGAAAUGGGCGAAAGCCUGACGGAGAAACGCCGCGUGAGUGAUGAAGGUCUUCGGAUCGUAAAACUCUGUUAUUAGGGAAGAACAAAUGUGUAAGGAACUAUGCACGUCGUGACGGUACCUAAUCAGAAAGCCACGGCUAACUACGUG